UCGCACCUACCGAUUGAAUAGCUCGGUGAAAUCCUCGGAUUGUAGUCAAGACACCCUCGGGUGACUAGAAGAUAAGAAGUGGAUUAAACCUCGUUGUUUAGAGGAAGGUG
rnacentral:rRNA from 1 species